GAUGAAGAACGUAGCGAAAUGCGAUACGUAAUGUGAAUUGCAGAAUUCAGUGAAUCAUCGAGUCUUUGAACGCACAUUGCGCCCCCUGGUAUUCCGGGGGGCAUGCCUGUCCGAGCGUCAUUACAACCCUCAAGCUCAGCUUGGUAUUGGGCCCCGCCGCUCCGGCGGGCCCUAAAGUCAGUGGCGGUGCCGUCCGGCUCCGAGCGUAGUAAUUCUUCUCGCUCUGGAGGUCCGGUCGUGUGCUCGCCAGCAACCCCCAAUUUUUUUCAGGUUGACCUCGGAUCAGGUAGGGAUACCCGCUGAACUUAAGCAUAUCAAUAAGCGGAGGA
rnacentral:misc_RNA from 1 species